rnacentral:lncRNA from 1 species
UUUUGAUCUCUAGGGAGGAGUGCUUAUGGGGACAAUUGGGGGAAGCAGGACUGAGUUCUGAGGUACGCCAAUAUUUACAAGUUGAGUGGAUGAGAAACCUAUAAAGAAGAAUGAGAAGAAAUGAUAAGGAGAAGCAGUAGGUAUUCUACAAUAAAUUGAUCAUCCUUCUAUUAUUGAGAAGAGAAAAAUAAAACAGAAAAGAAUAAAGAGGAAAUGGAAGGACUUGAAAUACGCAGAAAAAAAAAUAACUCAAAAGGCAGCAAAAGCUAAUGAGGAAACAGUACUGGAGGAAAAUGAGCAUGUAAUUGCUUACAUAAUCCUAUUCAGAAGAGCAUGGGAGACAUCCCCAAGGAAUUUCUGGAACUUUAAAGAAGGGGUCAGAUUUUCAUGGAGUUAAUAAAGAUUUGCUCAGAGUCACAGAAAGAAGGAAAAAAUAGCAGGAAGAGGAAAAAGAGAAGAAAGAAGGAAAAUAGGAAAAGAGAGAGGGAGAGAUAGAGGGAGGAAAGAAAAUACAGUUUACUUUUGAACAAUAUGGGUUUGAA